GAUGAACGCUGGCGGCGUGCCUAAUACAUGCAAGUCGAGCGAACGGACGAGAAGCUUGCUUUUCUGAUGUUAGCGGCGGACGGGUGAGUAACACGUGGAUAACCUACCUAUAAGACUGGGAUAACUUCGGGAAACCGGAGCUAAUACCGGAUAAUAUAUUGAACCGCAUGGUUCAAAAGUGAAAGACGGUCUUGCUGUCACUUAUAGAUGGAUCCGCGCUGCAUUAGCUAGUUGGUAAGGUAACGGCUUACCAAGGCAACGAUGCAUAGCCGACCUGAGAGGGUGAUCGGCCACACUGGAACUGAGACACGGUCCAGACUCCUACGGGAGGCAGCAGUAGGGAAUCUUCCGCAAUGGGCGAAAGCCUGACGGAGCAACGCCGCGUGAGUGAUGAAGGUCUUCGGAUCGUAAAACUCUGUUAUUAGGGAAGAACAUAUGUGUAAGUAACUAUGCACAUCUUGACGGUACCUAAUCAGAAAGCCACGGCUAACUACGUG
rnacentral:rRNA from 1 species